GGGUGGGAUGGGUCUUUCCUUCCUCUCCAUACCAUGUAUGUCUUAUCUGAAACAGUUCACUUGGUCAAGAAGGAUUACCUUUCUUCAUAGGAGAGGACCUUCUUUAGACAAGAGCAUAUGAGUCAAGACUCUAUCCUACUGAAAUAUCCAAACAAGGUCUUACAGUUCCACAGUUGUUAUAUCUAUAACAAUUAAAAUAAUUUCCUUGUUAUGUCGCUAAACACGACUGUGGACCAUAACA
rnacentral:sRNA from 1 species